GACGAACGCUGGCGGCGUGCUUUACACAUGCAAGUCGAACGGAAAGGCCCUGCUUGCAGGGUACUCGAGUGGCGAACGGGUGAGUAACACGUGGGUGAUCUGCCCUGCACUUCGGGAUAAGCUUGGGAAACUGGGUCUAAUACCGGAUAGGAGCCAUCUUUAGUGUGGUGGUUGGAAAGUUUUUUCGGUGUAGGAUGAGCUCGCGGCCUAUCAGCUUGUUGGUGGGGUAAUGGCCUACCAAGGCGGCGACGGGUAGCCGGCCUGAGAGGGUGUACGGCCACAUUGGGACUGAGAUACGGCCCAGACUCCUACGGGAGGCAGCAGUGGGGAAUAUUGCACAAUGGGCGCAAGCCUGAUGCAGCGACGCCGCGUGGGGGAUGAAGGCCUUCGGGUUGUAAACUCCUUUCGCUAGGGACGAAGCUUUUUUGUGACGGUACCUAGAUAAGAAGCACCGGCUAACUACGUG
rnacentral:rRNA from 1 species